CGGCGAGUGAAGCGGUAACAGCUCAAAUUUGAAAGCUAGCUCUUUUAGGGUUCGCAUUGUAAUUUGUAGAAGAUGCUUCGGGUGUGGCCCCGGUCUAAGUUCCUUGGAACAGGACGUCAUAGAGGGUGAGAAUCCCGUAUGUGACUGGGUGCUUUCGCUCAUGUGAAGCUCUUUCGACGAGUCGAGUUGUUUGGGAAUGCAGCUCAAAAUGGGUGGUAAAUUUCAUCUAAAGCUAAAUAUUGGCCAGAGACCGAUAGCGCACAAGUAGAGUGAUCGAAAGAUGAAAAGCACUUUGGAAAGAGAGUUAAACAGUACGUGAAAUUGUUGAAAGGGAAGCGCUUGCAACCAGACUUGCGCGCUGAUGAUCAUCCGGGCUUCUGUCCGGUGCACUCGUCUGCGCUCAGGCCAGCAUCGGUUUCGGUGGUGGGAUAAAGGCCUUGGGAAUGUAGCUCCUCUCGGGGAGUGUUAUAGCCCUCGGUGCAAUGCCGCCUACCGGGACCGAGGACCGCGCUUCGGCUAGGAUGCUGGCGUAAUGGUUGUAAGCGACCCGUCUUGAAACACGGACCAAGGAGUCUAACAUCUAUGCGAGUGUUUGGGUGUCAAACCCAUACGCGUAAUGAAAGUGAACGGAGGUGAGAACCCUUAAGGGUGCAUCAUCGACCGAUCCUGAUGUCUUCGGAUGGAUUUGAGUAAGAGCAUAGCUGUUGGGACCCGAAAGAUGGUGAACUAUGCGUGAAUAGGGUGAAGCCAGAGGAAACUCUGGUGGAGGCUCGCAGCGGUUCUGACGUGCAAAUCGAUCGUCAAAUUUGCGUAUAGGGGCGAAAGACUAAUCGAACCAUCUAGUAGCUGG
rnacentral:rRNA from 1 species